AUCCAACUGACGAGUCCCAAAUAAGACGAUGCGUGCAUCCUAGAU
rfam:Schistosoma curassoni strain Dakar, Senegal genome assembly, scaffold: SCTD_scaffold0003892